GAGAUCGUGCAUGUCACUGAUAAUGUAACAAAAACAAACACAUUUUUCAAAACGUAGUUAAGUAUUCAGAUAGUGAGUAUGAUUUAAGUAGAAAUUCAAUACUUUAAACCAUAUUGCGGAAGUUUAAAUUAUUGAAAAAUACCUGAACGGUUCCCAAAAUUUUUCAUGUCCUUUUUAAAUAAGUGGAUGACCUUGGAUUAUUUGGCUGUGAUAACACAAAUGUCUUGACGGUUAAUCAAGUUCUAUUUCUGACUAUAAAUGGAAAACGUUAAAGACAAAAUAAAGAAAGACCGUUACAGAAACUGGGUCAAGAGCACCCUAGGCCUUGAGCAAACGAACAGAGCAGUCUAUGAAUAUGUAAAAGAGAAGUUCCGAUUGUACACCCAUGGAAAUGCGCAAGGCUUGAACCCUAAUGUGUUGUUUACACAAAAGGAAAUCUCCCAUAUUUCGAGCGGAGCAGGAUCUUCUAUCCGACAAAACCUUUCCAAAAGUAUUAGGUACGACAACAAUUCAAAAACAUACAAAUGGAAGAAAUCUACGACGGACAAUUGCACUGAAUGUGAAACAUCAUUUCAAAAGUUGUUAUUACUUCAUAACAAACAGGCUGGUCAGGUCUUACACUGGGCUAACAGCAAUGAUACAAGUAACAUAACCCUAGAAUGGGCAAUCGCCAAAAUGUUUAUGCCACAGGGAAACGAAAACAACGACGGACCAGAAGAUACCGAUCCUUAUGCCAUGUUCCAUAUCAUGGAAAUGUGCCUACUUUUCCGAAAUCAUAUAAGAGCAUCCAAACUGAAAAAGAUUUUCUCAUAGUCACAAAGUCUGGCUCUUACAUUUAAAUUCUACAAGAUACGUACAUCACUGUACUUUGUUCCUUUAUAUAUUAACAGAAUUUCGUAUUAUCAGCAGCGGCAUAAAUAACGGAGGUCAUAACUACUUUGAAAGUUGCUAAUUUAAAUAAUCAUGCAUGAUAGAUAUCCGGAAUUUUAUUGUUCUUUUUUAUUUCUUAAACUUAAAAAUAGAAUGUCAUGUUAGCUUUAGAUCGAUCACCUGAGCUCCACAGAUUGCUUAGAUAACUUUGGUACAUUGUCGUGCAUAGGAAAAAUUAGUGAAAUUAUUUUGGAACUGUAUCAGUGCUUUCUGACAAGAGCAUCUUUUAAAAUAUCCACGAUGUACAUACAUGUAUAUGAAAAAGUGACUUUUCACCGAAGUAACAUUUCGAGGAUAUCAUUCAAGUAAAUUUCAUAGACACAAACAUUGGGACCGUGUUUUAUGGAAAGCAGGCAGAUAAUUAACCGAGAUUGUUUCAAUGAUUUGACCUAGCGGCCUUAUGUUUUCACUCAAAUGACCAAGUUACAUUUUAAACAUACAAACAUUCUUAGCAAGAAUCAUACAAGCGAAGCAGAAAAUACGGCCUCUUCAGUGUUUACAAGGUGUUCCUGUUAUUUAAUCUAAUGCCAUAGGUUUUGACCUCAGCCACCAACAUUGUCAACUUGACAUAUAUUUCAUAGAGUCAACAGUCUGAAAUCCUUUUUUUAUUAUAUGUUCUCAAAAUAACCUGAAUUUCAUUGGCCGCAACCGCUCAUCAUCUUUCAAAAUAUAUUUCAUGUUUAAAGGUUAGUGGGGUUUCCCAAUUAAAGGCCUAUAUCCACUGCUAUGUAAGUGUACCCCCACCCACAAAUCCAAUAAACAACUCCAAUCUUAUCUUCUGCUUAUCAGCCAAUUAUGUAAUAAUAGCUGAUUAGAGGGUAAUUAGCUCAGCAGGGGUCCCAACUAGACCACGAAGAUGAAAACUAAAUGUGCAAUGGAGUUGAAAGAAGUUAAUAUUCCUUGGUGAAUGUGAAAUGAUAAUAAUAAUAAUAAUUAUUAUUAUUAUUAUUAUUAUUUAUUGUUAUAAUUGUUAUUAUUAUCAAUAAUUUUUAUUAUACAGGCAAUUAUUAA